rnacentral:rRNA from 1 species
GACCAGCUGUAGAAAUACGGCCUUCCCGCAAGGGACACCAGUAUAGGCGCUGCAUGGCUGUCGUCAGCUCGUGCCGUGAGGUGUUGGGUUAAGUCCCGCAACGAGCGCAACCCUUGCACACAGUUACUACUCGCAAGAGAGGACUCUGUGUGGACUGCUCCGGAUAACGGAGAGGAAGGUGGGGAUGACGUCAAGUCCGCAUGGCCUUUAUGUCCAGGGCUACACACGUGUUACAAUGCAGGGCACAAACCGUUGCCAACCCGCGAGGGGGAGCUAAUCGGAAAAAACUCUGCUCAGUUCGGAUUGCAGUCUGCAACUCGACUGCAUGAAGCCGGAAUCGCUAGUAAUGGCGUAUCAGAUCGACGCCGUGAAUACGUUCCCGGGCCUUGUACACACCGCCCGUCACAUCACGAAAGUGAGUUGUACUAGAAGUCGCCGCGCGAACCGCAAGGACGCAAGCGCCCAAGGUAUGACUCAUGAUUGGGGUGAAGUCGUAACAAGGUAGGCGUAGUGCU